rnacentral:rRNA from 1 species
CAAGUCGAACGGCAGCACGAGAGAGCUUGCUCUCUUGGUGGCGAGUGGCGGACGGGUGAGUAAUAUAUCGGAACGUGCCCAGUAGCGGGGGAUAACUACUCGAAAGAGUGGCUAAUACCGCAUACGCCCUACGGGGGAAAGGGGGGGAUCGCAAGACCUCUCACUAUUGGAGCGGCCGAUAUCGGAUUAGCUAGUUGGUGGGGUAAAGGCUCACCAAGGCAACGAUCCGUAGCUGGUUUGAGAGGACGACCAGCCACACUGGGACUGAGACACGGCCCAGACUCCUACGGGAGGCAGCAGUGGGGAAUUUUGGACAAUGGGGGAAACCCUGAUCCAGCCAUCCCGCGUGUAUGAUGAAGGCCUUCGGGUUGUAAAGUACUUUUGGCAGAGAAGAAAAGGCAUCCCCUAAUACGGGAUGCUGCUGACGGUAUCUGCAGAAUAAGCACCGGCUAACUACGUGCCAGCAGCCGCGGUAAUACGUAGGGUGCAAGCGUUAAUCGGAAUUACUGGGCGUAAAGCGUGUGUAGGCGGUUCGGAAAGAAAGAUGUGAAAUCCCAGGGCUCAACCUUGGAACUGCAUUUUUAACUGCCGAGCUAGAGUAUGUCAGAGGGGGGUAGAAUUC